CCUACGGGUGGCAGCAGUGAGGAAUAUUGGUCAAUGGACGAGAGUCUGAACCAGCCAAGUAGCGUGAAGGAUGACUGCUCUAUGGGUUGUAAACUUCUUUUGUAAAGGAAUAAAACGAGGCACGUGUGCCUUUUUGCAUGUACUUUAUGAAUAAGGAUCGGCUAACUCCGUGCCAGCAGCCGCGGUAAUACGGAGGAUUCGAGCGUUAUCCGGAUUUAUUGGGUUUAAAGGGAGCGUAGAUGGGUUGUUAAGGCAGCUGUGAAAGUUCGCGGCUCAACCGUAAAAUUGCAAUUGAUACUGGAAGUCGUGAGUACAGUUGAGGUAAGCGGAAUUCGUGGUGUAGCGGUGAAAUGCUUAGAUAUCACGAAGAACCCCGAUUGCGAAGGCAGCUUACUAAACUGUGACUGACAUUGAUGCUCGAAAGUGUGGGUAUCAAACAGGAUUAGAUACCCCUGUAGUC
rnacentral:rRNA from 1 species